rfam:Ceriporiopsis subvermispora B unplaced genomic scaffold CERSTscaffold_12, whole genome shotgun sequence.
AGCAACAUGGCGCAGGGGUAGCGCGCGGGGCUCAUAUGAUCGAUCAAUCGAAACCCCGAGGUCACUGGAUCGAAACCAGUUGUUGCUA